GAUGAACGCUGGCGGCGUGCCUAAUACAUGCAAGUCGAGCGAACAGACGAGGAGCUUGCUCCUCUGACGUUAGCGGCGGACGGGUGAGUAACACGUGGAUAACCUACCUAUAAGACUGGGAUAACUUCGGGAAACCGGAGCUAAUACCGGAUAAUAUAUUGAACCGCAUGGUUCAAUAGUGAAAGACGGUUUUGCUGUCACUUAUAGAUGGAUCCGCGCCGCAUUAGCUAGUUGGUAAGGUAACGGCUUACCAAGGCAACGAUGCGUAGCCGACCUGAGAGGGUGAUCGGCCACACUGGAACUGAGACACGGUGCAGGCUCCUACGGGAGGCAGCAGUAGGGAAUCUUCCGCAAUGGGCGAAAGCCUGACGGAGCAACGCCGCGUGAGUGAUGAAGGUCUUCGGAUCGUAAAACUCUGUUAUUAGGGAAGAACAAAUGUGUAAGUAACUAUGCACGUCUUGACGGUACCUAAUCAGAAAGCCACGGCUAACUACGUG
rnacentral:rRNA from 1 species